rnacentral:rRNA from 1 species
GACGAACGAGGGAGGCGUGCUUAACACAUGCAAGUCGAACGCUGAAGCCCCAGCUUGCUGGGGUGGAUGAGUGGCGAACGGGUGAGUAACACGUGAGUAACCUGCCCCUGACUUCGGGAUAAGCCCGGGAAACUGGGUCUAAUACCGGAUACGACUAUCGGACGCAUGUCUGGGGGUGGAAAGUUUUUUCGGUUGGGGAUGGGCUCGCGGCCUAUCAGUUUGUUGGUGAGGUAAUGGCUCACCAAGACGACGACGGGUAGCCGGCCUGAGAGGGCGACCGGCCACACUGGGACUGAGACACGGCCCAGACUCCUCCGGGAGGCAGCAGGGGGGAAUAUUGCACAAUGGGGGAAACCCUGAUGCAGCGCCGCAGCGUGCGGGAUGACGGCCUUCGGGUUGUAAACCGCGUUCAGCCGGGAAGCAGCCUUCGGGUGACGGUACCUGCAGAAGAAGUACCGGCUAACUACGUG